rnacentral:tRNA from 1 species
AGCCCUGUAGUAUAGCGGUCAAGUAUCUUCGGUUCUGGGCCGAAGGACCCCGGUUCGAAUCCGGGCAGGGCUA